UGUAGAUGUCAUGCAGCUCCAAGCAACAGCAGAAAAAAGUUGUCCAGCUUUUUUAGGCCCUGGGCGAAAAACAGAAUAUGGCAGAAGAGAUGUACACAUUGGGAGGUUAAGGAAAGCUCCUGAAGAUUGAUUUUGAAAGAUGAAACAAUGAAUGGAGAGAAAGAGGAGAUGGAGGGGAGGAGAAGCAGUGAUCCAUUCAUCUUAAAUAUAUUCUCUGCCAGCUCUGCCCAAGACUUCCACCUUUGAAUGUUUCAUUAGUCCUCAUCCAUAACACUGGAUGCAUUCGAAAGCGGCAGAUCAGGACUUCAGAGGUGUCUCUCUCUCUCUCUGUCACUGACAGCUUCAUUUGAAGAACAAAACUGUAACAACAAGCAAUUUUUGGACAAUGACCCAACACACCUCCAGGCUGUGUCAGGGCUAUUUUACCAAGAAGUAGAGUGACGGAGGGCUGCAUCAGAUGACCUGGCCUCCACUAUCACCCAAUCUCAACCCACUUGAGAUGGUUUGGGAUAAGUUGGACCGUGGAGUGAAGGAAAAGCAGGCAACAAGUGCUCAGCAUAUGUGGCAACUCCUUCAAGACUGUUGGAAAAGCAUUCCAGGUGAAGCUGGUUGAGAGAAUGCCAAGAGUGUGCAAAUGCUGUCAUCAAGUGUCACGUCCUGACCAGUAUAAGGGUUAUUUGUUAUUGUAGUUUGGUCAGGACGUGGCGGAGGGUAUUUGUUUUAUGUGGUUCGGGGUGGUGUUUUUGGAGAAGGGUAUUUGAUUUAUGUAUUCUGGGGUUUUUGGGCACUGUUCCGUGUCUAUGUAUUUCUAUGUUUAGUCUAGUUGGU
rnacentral:lncRNA from 1 species